CUUCCCUCUUCCUCAUUUUAUUUGUAAGUGAAUAUUACUGAGCAGGGUAUUGCUUAUGUAUGUUGCCUUACAUUUCCUAUAAAAGAAAUCACUCUCUAUUGAAAGAAAGACGCUGAAGCAUUCCGCCUGUGUGACGCAUAGCCUGAGCCACUGGCAAGCCACUUCCUCGUGCAUCAGUUUCCUCAUGUUAGGAAGAGAGAAAGGAAUGCAGUCACCGACCUCAGAGGACCAGGAGGCUGAAACAGGCACCAAGCUUCUGCAGGCCCUGGAGGUGCCCGCUGCAGAGCACAGGAGGCACAGACUCUCAGAAAGAGCCCCUCAGUCACUGAACAGCCACAGAUGCAGACUGAAUUCAGCAUGUAAGCACCAGCGCUUACCGAGGUUAAACUUGUCAGCUGCAUCUUGGGUGUCUGCUGCUCAAAUGCAGGCAAUGUGGGCAGGGCUUGCAAGCGUAAGUCUUCCAUCAUGGUCGUCUGGUCGGCUGGUGACAGUGCCCAUCAGGCAACCACCUCAAGCACAUCUCGGCAAGCGUCUCCAAGACAGAAUACUGGCGUGGUCUCGUUGACUGCUCUUCCCAGGAGGAGAACUGAAAGCACUGGCAGUAAGUGAUGCCCUCUCCUGCUUGCAGACCCUGGAAAUCCUCACUCCUCACAGCAAGCCCAAAGGACAAAUAGUAAACCCUGAAAAUAGGAACCCUGAAAAUGCCAAGCACAUACAAACCUAAUUGCUCUAGUUCAGAUGGAUUUUUGCUUCAGAGGCCACACUGUUUUCUUUCAUGUAUCUGUGCACCCACUUAUUAAUUUAUAAUUGGAUGCAUAUUGAGCACCACCCUGUGCCAAAUACCAUGCAUGGAACCUAGGCGUGUGACACUCAACCGUCCUGUUCUUCGGAAUAGGGAAGAAGAGAAAUGCACCAUGCACUGAGCACUGGCUGUCAACCCAGCUCCACCCAGUGGAUUCACCAUAGCCCUCACACGUGGAGAGGCAGAGCUGAGCUUCAUCUGUGUGGAGAUAAGAAACUGAAAGCUCAGACAGUUUGAGUAACUGGCCCCGCAGCACACAGUAGAAGGUGGUGGUGGUGAGAUUUCAGAAUCUCACACUCUGCACUCAGAGAUCUUUCCAUUCUCAAAUCACAAGAGCUUGGGAUGUUAGGACCGUGUGACAAAUUACUAUAAUGCACACUGUAGGUAAAAGUGGGAUAACAAUCAAGUAGACAAAGCAUGAUAGAGAAAGGAGAUAUGGCCUCUGAAGGAAGGGCCACAGACAUGUCUCAUACAGGGGCCCCAGCACAGGGCACCUGCUCAGAAAUGACAGUCCUAAAAGAAACCACCGAGGGACAGGGUGCAGGGCUGAGAAUCAGGGAAAGGGGUGACAACAGAGAUGGAGCACAGAAUUGGGCUGUGGACUCCUCACACCACACAGAGCUGUGGAAGAUGGGAAAAUGGUCAGCUUUUCUCCACAAGAAGGGGUGUCAAUUCAGGCAAAGCCCAAGUCUCCUUGCUCACCAUAGCCAAGUCCUAGCGAAACAUGUGUGAUCGAAGGACGGGUUUGAGGCCUAACUCUUGUAUUCAUUAGCCGAACAACUGUUGAGGUACUCGGAUGUGUACGUUGCUCUAAAGGAUAAAUUGCCACAAGGGCUGGUCCAAGUAAGCAUCGCGGGCCAAUCACACAGCAGCACAAUUAGUGGGUACAUUUAAGCAAUGUCCGUCGUGUAUUUAUUUACUGCAUGUAUUCCAGAAACUGUGCACAUAAAUCCAGGCCCAGAAAAAUGUGCAAAGAUUCUCUCAUGUCAACCUCACAACUCUGAAAGGUAAGGACCAUUUCAAAACUCUACAGAUAUAUAAAUCAUGAUCACAAGAAUUUGGCUAGCUAAGUCCACAGUCUUAUCUCUAGAAGUAGAAAAACCCACUUGCUCUUCAAUUUGGUGUUUGUUUCAUUACAUGCAUUAGCCACUUACACUGGUGGUUCUCAAUCUGUAGGCUGUAGAGCCUUCAGAAUAGUCCAGCUAAAUGUUUAGCAACUUGCAAACUUCAUUUGCUUACACUAUAUACUGUCAGGAGAAUGCUGAAAUCUAGGCAUUGUGUAGGGUACAGCUUGCUGGAAAUCUUUUAUCACUUGGAUUCAUCAGGAAUAUUUUGUAAGAUGGAGUUGUUAUGAGGACAAAACAAGAGGAUAUAAUAUAUUUUGAUAAUAUCAAGUAUGGCUCUAAAAGAAUUCUCUUUUCAUAGGAAAAGUUUAGAAAAUAUCUUAAGUAAUAGUUUUUGCAUACUUAUUCUCCAAUUCUGUCAUUGUGAUAUAAAAUCCUUGACUGAG